AAUCUCUCGUUAGGACUAAAUAACCGCGGUCUCAAAACGGAAGCCUCGUUGCAAUCCGUGCCAGGGGCUUACUUGGGAGUAAGUGCGCUUUAGGGAAUGCCGUUUGGAACAGAAACGUUAGCAAAGUUUUCAGUGGGUGCGGUGCAGCUCUCGUUCCCUCCCUCAUUCACGCUCUGGAGAGUUAAGACUGUUCGGCAAAGCAGGUUUCCCAGAAACUUUCUAGAUGAAAGGGAAGAGGUUCGUGCAGUGCUGCCAAGUCCCUUUCUACUUCUAUCUCUCCCCAUGAUGCGAGCCCAGUCCACCUCUCCGCGCCACAGCUUUUGUAUCCUGAAGCCGGAGCGCAGUCCCAGACACACACACACACACACACACACACACGGCAGUUGCAACCCUGGCCAGAGACUGCAUCUCAGCAGAAAGUUUGCCACGUGCGGCAGAAUUGAGGCAAAGAGACUCAGAAUUGAGUCGCUUCUCCUUCAUCACCUUCUUGACCCAUUUCUCAAGGACCGCCAUCAAUACCAAACAGACCCCCAUUGUAGAGAAGAAUCACAACCUUCAUCUGAUGAAGUGCUCUCUAAUCCAGUUUUGUUGAAUCUGAUGCAGUUGACUCUAACACAACAAAGUUUAUGCUGCAAUAACUGUGUUAAUUUGUAAGGUGAUGCAAGCCUCCUUGUUUUGUUUUUGUCACUAUCUUGCCUUAUCUAUAUUUAGGUGAAGUGAAAGGAGACGAAUCAGAUAUAAACAACAACAACAACAACAAACAAGAACAACAACACACCCAUAUGAAUAAGAAACUGUGAAUCGUGGCUUUUGCCAUAUACAAACUAGUGUCAACCCAUUACUGUAAAAUCUAAAGUUUAGGGCUUUGUAGGUUUGUUGUUUCAAACAAAGAAGAAAGUGAUGGUUUGUCCAUUAGCAGUAUUAGUAGCAGCCUGGACUGCUUCAUGCAGAUUUUAAAACAAAAUUAAAUCAUUAUGGCAAA